rnacentral:rRNA from 1 species
UACGAAGGGGGCUAGCGUUGUUCGGAAUUACUGGGCGUAAAGGGCGCGUAGGCGGUGCCUCAAGUCAGGCGUGAAAAGCCCCCGGGGCUCAACCCUGGGAACCGCGCUUGGAGACUGGGAGUACUAGAGUUCGGGAGAGGAUGGUGGAAGUUCCCAGUGUAGAGGUGAAAUUCGUAGAUAUUGGGAAGAACACCGAUGGCG